GUGCUGCCCUUGGAAGUGGAUGGGGAUGAUGGCCCCUGUGGGGUGGGUGGCCCAGAACACAGCAGCUCUUCACAGUCUCAUCAGCAGCAGCAGAGAGCCCCCUGUCACCUGAGGGCCUCAGGGAGAGGCAGGGGAGCCAGGCUUCUCACCUGCCUUCUGCCUUCCAGCUUCCUGGAGAUGAUGGAGGCUCACAGUCAUGGCCAUGCGUCCCCACUGGCGGCCAAGGGGCAGAGUCCAUCCUCAGGCUCCCAGUCACCAGUGGUGCCUCCAGGCGCCGUGUCCACAGGGAGCUCUAGCCCCGGCACACCCCAGCCUGCCCCACAGCUGCCCCUCAAUGCUGCCCCACCAUCCUCUGUGACCCCUGUACCACCCUCAGAGGCCCUGCCCCCACCUGCGUGCCCCUCAGCCCCCGCCCCACGGCGUAGCAUCAUCUCUAGGCUGUUUGGGACGUCACCUGCCUCCGAGGCAGCCCCUCCACCUCCAGAGCCAGUCCCAGCCGCAGAGGCCCCAGCAACAGUCCAGAGUGUGGAGGACUUUGUUCCCGAUGACCGCCUGGACCGCAGCUUCCUGGAAGACACAACCCCCGCCAGGGACGAGAAGAAGGUGGGGGCCAAGGCUGCCCAGCAGGACAGCGACUCGGGGAGGGGCCCUGGGCGGCAACCCGAUGGUGGCAGGGUUCCAGGACGAUGUGGACCUCAAAGACCAGCCACGUGGGAGUCCCCCGCCGCCCGCGGGCCCUGUCCCCAGUCAAGACAUCACUCUUUCAAGUGAGGAGGAAGCAGAAGUGGCGGAUCCCCCAAAAGGCCCUGCCCCAGCUCCCCAGCAGUGCUCAGAGCCAGAGACCAAGUGGUCCUCCAUACCAGCUUCGAAGCCACAGAGGGGGACAGCUCCCAUGAGGGCUGCAGCACCCCCCUGACCAGGUGGUGCCUCUGUUGGCACAGGUCUGGAGAAGUGCAGCAGCACCAGGCCCCCUGCUGAGAUUGAGCCAGGGAAGGGUGAGCAGGCCUCCUCGUCCGAGAGUGACCCCGAGGGGCCCAUCACUGCACAAAUGCUGUCCUUCGUCAUGGAUGACCCCGACUUUGAGAGCGAGGCAUCAGACACACAGUGCAGGGCAGUAAGAUGAGUCCUCCCGGCGCAGAGGUCAGCCAGGAGGCCAGGGUCCCUCCCGCAGGCCU
rnacentral:lncRNA from 1 species